rnacentral:rRNA from 1 species
UACGUAGGGGGCAAGCGUUGUCCGGAAUCAUUGGGCGUAAAGAGCGUGUAGGCGGCCAGAAAAGUCCGCUGUGAAAACUCGAGGCUCAACCUCGAGACGCCGGUGGAAACCGUAAGGCUAGAGUCCGGAAGAGGAGAGUGGAAUUCCUGGUGUAGCGGUGAAAUGCGCAGAUAUCAGGAGGAACACCGAUGGCGAAGGCAGGUCUCUGGGCCACUACUGACGCUGAGAAGCGAAAGCAUGGGGAGCGAACAGG